rnacentral:rRNA from 1 species
UACGUAGGGACCAAGCGUUGUUCGGAUUUACUGGGCGUAAAGGGCGCGUAGGCGGCCUAGCAAGUCACUUGUGAAAUCUCCGGGCUUAACCCGGAAAGGUCAGCCGAUACUGCGGGGCUAGAGUGCAGAAGGGGCAACUGGAAUUCCCAGUGUAGUGGUGAAAUACGUAGAGAUUGGGAAGAACACCAGUGGCGAAGGCGGCUAUCUGGACGGUUUCUGACGCUAAGACGCGAAAGCGUGGGGAGCAAACAGG